UUGGUAACAACCUUUCUCUCUCAAAUAUGCUUUUCUCAUUCAGCUAAUAGAACACGAACGUGAGGCUUAUCAUCAGGUUAACAAAGAGAGAAUGAUUUAAUCGUCGAUGAGUAGUCAGAUCAAAUCUUUGAUGCUCGCUCCAAGACUUUUUGGUUGUGGUUCUGUAUGUCGUGUUCAUCUGUAGGGCUGUAGAGGGAUGCUUAGAUUGCUGAACCAUGUAGAAAACUGAACCAUGUAGUAAAAUAGUGAGAUCAGAACUUGAUUCCUGUUGGACCCCAAGCAGAGUUAUACUACUGCGUGGCAACAAAAUCCUUAGUGAUGAGUUGAAAAAAGUGUAUGAAAGACAAGAUUAAGCUAACAAAAAACAACCGUUUGUGGAUAAGGCACUCAUACCAUGUAAGCUUUAGAGAAACUCUCAAUGAUGAACAAGCCCUCACUUGGAGAUAAUUUCACAUGCCUCUUUGUCAGUCUACAGAAGACACAGAGACAUCAGGAGAAAUAGCUUGCUACCAGAAAAGUGAACAUGUCUCUUCAGAUUUUAGUGGUGGCUUAACAAAAACGGUGCUAGAUGGUAACAAAUAUGAAUAGUAGUAAAUGUUCAUACAUAUUGUAUUGAUACUCGACUGACUGAAUAAAAUAAAUUCUAUUACAUUUACCGACCUAUAAUCUGUACUUCAACAACCUUACCGCAUUCAACAUUGAUUUGGAGCUGACAAGAAGGUGGGACAAUAUGAACUUUGUCAUGCUAUGCCCUUCAGCUGUAUCCGCUAAGUUCCCCUGUGAAGAGACUAUACCAAAAGAAAUAAGAUGCAAGCGUAUUCCCAAAAGGAAUUGUGUUGUAUCAGCCAAAGUUUAUCUGCUUGGUGGAGCUUCUUUGGGUGUGAUAAAGCUGUGAGAUCUAGAAGAAACAAAUAGUUUGGUCAAUCUCAUGCUCUCCUUUUGAAGGGUUGUUGCUCCUUAUUUUCCCAGCUACUUCCAUCGAAUGGAACAUGAAGAUACCGGCUAAAUCUUGAACAUAUCUAAGGGUCUUUCUUUUGAACAUAUCUAUCAUUUACUUAUAAACAAUGAAGUCCACCAUUCUAAAUCUUGCUCUUGAA